AGCCAGCAGCCGCGGUAAAACGUAGGAGGCAAGCGUUAUCCGGAUUUACUGGGCGUAAAGCGCGUGCAGGCGGCUGUGCAAGUUGGGCGUAAAAUCUCCUGGCUUAACUGGGAGGCGCCGUCCAAUACUGCAUAGCUUGAGGGCAGGAGAGGGAAGCGGAAUUCCCGGUGUAGCGGUAAUAUGCGCAGAUAUCGGGAGGAACACCAGUGGCGAAGGCGGCUUUCUGGCCUGUCUCUGACGCUAAGACGCGAAAGCUAGGGGAGCGAACGGGAUUAGAUACCCCGGUAGUCCUAGCCGUAAACGAUGGAUACUAGGUGUGGGAGGUAUUGACCCCUUCCGUGCCGAAGCCAACGCGUUAAGUAUCCCGCCUGGGGAGUACGACCGCAAGGUUAAAACUUAAAGGAAUUGGCGGGGG
rnacentral:rRNA from 1 species